rnacentral:rRNA from 1 species
UACAGAGGUCUCAAGCGUUGUUCGGAUUCAUUGGGCGUAAAGGGUGCGUAGGCGGCGCGGUAAGUCGGGUGUGAAAUCUUGGAGCUUAACUCCGAAACUGCAUUCGAUACUGCCGUUCUUGAGGACUGGAGAGGAGACUGGAAUUUACGGUGUAGCGGUGAAAUGCGUAGAUAUCGUAAGGAAGACCAGUGGCGAAGGCGGGUCUCUGGACAGUUCCUGACGCUGAGGCACGAAGGCCAGGGGAGCAAACAGG